AGCAGUGUUGUACAAUGGUUAGGACCCUGGCUUCUAAUUCAGAGAUGGUGGGUUCGAGUCCCAGGUAGGCUA